AGGACGAACGCUGGCGGCGUGCCUAAAACAUGCAAGUCGAACGGAGGCAGUAAUGCUUCAGUGGCGAACGGCGGAGUAAUACAUGAGCAACGUACCCCAAAGACCGGGAUAGUCGGCCGAAAGGCUGUGUAAUACCGGAUGCGGCGAAUUCCCCACAUGGGUUGAUCGUCAAAUGGUUUUUCGCUUUGGGAGCGGCUCAUGGCCUAUCAGGUAGUUGGUGAGGUAACGGCUCCCCAAGCCUACGACGGGUAGCGGGUCUGAGAGGAUGAUCCGCUCGAGUGGGACUGAGACACGGCCCACACACCUACGGGUGGCAGCAGUUGGGAAUCUUGCACAAUGGGGGAAACCCUGAUGCAGCGACGCCGCGUGGAGGAUGACGGGUCUAGGCCUGUAAACUCCUUUUCCCCGGAAAGACUUAGGACGGUACCGGGGGAAUAAGGCACCGGCUAACUACGCGCUAGCAGCCGC
rnacentral:rRNA from 1 species